rnacentral:rRNA from 1 species
GAUCAUGGCUCAGGAUGAACGCUGGCGGCGUGCCUAAUACAUGCAAGUCGAACGAGAGUGCUUGCACUCUAGUGGCGAACGGGUGAGUAACACGUAGGUAACCUGCCUUACAGUUUGGGAUACCCUGGCGAAAGCUAGGCUAAUACCGAAUAAUUGGAUUGGAGGCAUCUCCGAUCUCUAAAAGGGGCCUUUAAAGCCUCGCUGAAUGGUGGACCUGCGGCGCAUUAGCUAGUUGGUGAGAUAACAGCCCACCAAGGCGAGGAUGCGUAGCCGACCUGAGAGGGUGAACGGCCACACUGGAACUGAGACACGGUCCAGACUCCUACGGGAGGCAGCAGUAGGGAGUUUUCGGCAAUGGGGGCAACCCUGACCGAGCAACGCCGCGUGAAUGAUGAAGGUCUUCGGAUUGUAAAGUUCUGUUAUAAGGGAAAAAUGAUAUGGUGAGGAAAUGCUCCAUAUUUGAUGGUACCUUAUUAGAAAGCCACGGCUAACUACGUGCCAGCCGCGGC